CACGUAGGUGGCCAGGCAAUUCGGUCGUGGAAUACCGACGCUCACCGUCGGUGCGCCGGCCGAAAAUACCUGGCUUGAGGGCGUGAGGGGUCGCUGGAACUCCUGGUGGAGCGGUGAAAUGCGUAGAUAUCAGGAGGAACGCCGGAGGCUAACGCGAGCGACUGGUGCGUCCCUGACACUGAGGUGCGAAAGCCGGGGGGAGCAAACAGGAUUAGAUACCCUGGUAGUCCCGGCUGUAAACGAUGGACACUAAGUGAGGGAGGGCUCGCCUUUCUUUGCUGCAGCUAACGCGUUAAGUGUCCCGCCUGGGGAGUACGGCCGCAAGGUUAAA
rnacentral:rRNA from 1 species